UUUCCCGUGCUUGCUCUCUCUCUCUCUCUCUUUCUCUCAAAAUAAACAUUUUUUUAAAAAGUUAUUAGAGGUGAUUUUGGUACCAAUAACAUAAUCAAAAUACACAUACCUUUAAGGUUUUCUGGAUAUGUAAAAAUGCACUGACCAUUUCAAAAAUGUAAAAGAAAGCAGUAUAUUUAUCUGACUAAAUGACUGCUCAGCAAUUCUCUUAACCAACACACACACACACACACACACACACACUUAUAUUGGUCAAUGUGAAAUAACAAACAAAUCCUUGCUUUUACCUUUGUUAAAUUUUGGGUGUGUGAAUAAUACAUUUAUGUUCUCUUCUAUAUAAAAACUCUAUAUCCCCUUUAAAGACAUGUUUGAGGAUUGCGUAUUAAUUAACUUGUUUAGUAUAUGCAGACUCAACACUAUUGUUAAUAAAGAAAGAUUCAGGCAGAAGUAUGUAGCUCCCACACAGCACUGCUGAUUCAUAUUUGUAGAAGGAAUAUAUUUCCAAGAAAAUUUUGUACUCUAAAAAUACUGCUUGCAAACCUCUUCCCAGAUUUCUAUGAAGGAGGGAAGGUUGCUGAGAAACCAGCCCAGACUAUUUCUCGACAUGGCUCAUUUUUCAAUUAUUAUUCACAAACUCUACAGGCCAUCUUGAAAUGUUUAGUAUUUUGUCGCCUAUUUCCCAAGAUAACCCUCAUUAUUUCUUUUGUGUUAGUUUCUUUAACUACCCACUCUUUUCCUUGUCACUGAUUUGAUGAUUCUUUCACAUUGUUAGGCUUUAUUCAUACCCUUUCUUUAGCCUGGAAUGACAUCUCAACAUCUCCCCUUUACAACAAUAUAUUUUGUCCAUACCAUAUGUCCUUAUUGAAUGCUUUUGCCCUGUUUGUGGUUGUUGUUCUUUGCUCCAACAAUAAAAACAUAAAUUCUAGCCGAUGCCUAAUAAAUAUUACUGUAAAGGUAAGUAACAGAAAAAUUAAUAGUAAAAUGCAUAAACUAAAAUAUACUAGAGAUGUAAGCAUAAAUAUACCCACCUCCAUUCACUGCAAUUUAAAUUUACAAAAAUCCCAGAAAAGUUAGACAAACUAAAAAUAAUCAACAUAGAAUGAUAAUGAUCAUGCUGAAUAUAGAGUGCAAAACAAAAUUCUUAUUACCUAGAUAUUUUUAAAUGUUUCUUUAUUUAUUUUUGGAGAAAGGGAGAGAGACGGAGACAGCGAGCACAAGCGCACGAGUGGGGGCGGGCAGAGAGAGAAGGGGAGAGAAAGAAUCCCAAUGCGGCUCUGCACGCUCUCAGGGAAGAGACAGAUGUGGGCGCUGUCUCACCCUGAGCCAGAAUCAAAAAUCCAACACUUAAGCGACUGAGCCACCCAGGUGCCCCUUACCUAGAUACUUAAAUAACAAUUUACCAUUCCUUCCCCAAAUCUAGUUUUAAAAGUUUUGACUUGGAAAAACUUAAACUUUGUAAAAGUAAUAUCCAAUGCAAAAUCUCACAGGGAUAAAAGUUGGAAAUUUUUAGUUCAUUUUUAACUGCAUUAUUAUUUUAUUGUUAAGGAAUCCACUUCUGUGGCGGUCAUGAAGCCCAAGCUGUGUUAAUAGUGACUCCUGGAGGUAAUUACACCAAAUUGUGGUUAUAAGCAUUGGUUAUAAGCAUCUGGUUAUAAGCAUUGUCUCCUCUCUCUACGUCAGCUGAAAACCCAGACCCAGGAGGUCUCAAUCCCUGCCUCCCUAUUCUUGGAAGAGGCCAGAGCCAACUACGCACAAGGCUUUUUCAGAGGAGACAACUUUGACUUCCCAAAAGACAAACCCUCUAUUUUGCUUUAUGAGGCAAAUACCAACCCCAAACCGCAGACCAGCUGGGAACCAUGUAGGCCUCAAUAAAUUUUGAAAAUCUUAAAUGAAUUAAAGACUUUGUAGGAUUUAUAUAGGAAAAUGAUCAUGCAGAUUAUAUCAGUAAAAGAAGAAAAUAAAAGAAACUUUAAAAACAUAGAACUAGUUUAAUUAUUAUGCAUUGAAAAUUUAAGAAGAAAUUAAUUUGGUUUAGUAUUUUAUGUCCUAGAAAAUAUAAGUGAGUUUGGUAAGAUUAUUAGAAUAUUUGUUUUCAUUUUAUAGCUAAAAGUUCAACGUGAAGGUAUAAAAGUUAUAAAUAUCAAAAUGCAAAAUUAUAUAGCAGAACUAUAUGUAAAACACUAAAAUCACAUACUAAUUUUCUUGAACCAUCAGGGAGUGGAGAAGAGAGUAAAGAAACAGCCUGAAAUCAAAGUGAACCAAGAAAAUUAAAUGUGAUUAUACCUGCCAGUUGCAUCCUUCAGGAAGCUGAUCUUGAGGGACUCUUCAUCUGAACACCGGCAUUCGCUGAGGGAGGUAUACCUAUGCUUCAGUAGUGAUGACCUUGGCUACUUACUCACGCAGCGUAGUAAGUAAGGAAGCUGUAUGUUACCAGGGAUGGAGCCUCCACCCCUCAUCUCUGGGUGACUGUACAGCUUACAGACCCCAAAGCUGCAAAUGAAACACCAAUGAGAAAUAAAUAUUUGCUGUGCUGAACCAUGAA